UUUCCGUAGGUGAACCUGCGGAAGGAUCAUUAAUAAUUAGUGUAUUAUGGAGCUUUUUUAAAUACAUAUCCACCUUGUGUGCAAUGUCAGGGUUGAUUUGUAUCUCGGGAGGAUCAGCCUCAAACAACAACUAUAUCUCAACUCUUUGUCUGAAAAAUAUUAUGUAUAAAACAAUUCAAAAUACAACUUUCAACAACGGAUCUCUUGGCUCUC
rnacentral:misc_RNA from 1 species